rfam:Streptomyces sp. DvalAA-14 genome assembly, contig: Ga0115240_1232
CUGGCCCCGGUUCACGUACCCGCAAUCCGCGGAUGCGACCCGGCGCC